UACGUAGGGGGCAAGCGUUGUCCGGAAUCAUUGGGCGUAAAGAGCGCGUAGGCGGUCCGGUAAGUCCGCUGUGAAAGUCAAGGGCUCAACCCUUGAAUGCCGGUGGAUACUGUCGGGCUAGAGUCCGGAAGAGGAGAGUGGAAUUCCUGGUGUAGCGGUGAAAUGCGCAGAUAUCAGGAAGAACACCCGUGGCGAAGGCGGCUCUCUGGUACGUGACUGACGCUGAGACGCGAAAGCGUGGGGAGCAAACAGG
rnacentral:rRNA from 1 species